ACUACGGGUGGCAGCAGUGGGGAAUAUUGGGCAAUGGGCGCAAGCCUGACCCAGCAACGCCGCGUGAAGGAAGAAGGCUUUCGGGUUGUAAACUUCUUUUAUCAGGGACGAAGCAAGUGACGGUACCUGAUGAAUAAGCCACGGCUAACUACGUGCCAGCAGCCGCGGUAAUACGUAGGUGGCAAGCGUUCUCCGGAUUUACUGGGUGUAAAGGGCGUGUAGGCGGGAGUGCAAGUCAGAUGUGAAAACUAUGGGCUGAAACCAUAGCCAGCAUUUGAAACUGUACUUCGUGGUUGCUAGAGAGGCGAUCGGAAGUCCGGGUGUAGCGGAGAAAUGCGAAGAUAUACGGAGGAAAAACAGUAGCGAAGGCGGAUUGCUGGACAGUAACUGACGCUGAGGCGCGAAAGCGUGGGGAGCAAACAGGAUUAGAUACCCGGGUAGUC
rnacentral:rRNA from 1 species